rnacentral:tRNA from 3 species
GCGCCUGUAGCUCAGUGGAUAGAGCACUGGCCUCCGGAGCCAGGUGCCGCAGGUUCAAAUCCUGCCAGGCGCACCA